UACGAAGGGUGCAAGCGUUAAUCGGAAUUACUGGGCGUAAAGGGUGCGUAGGCGGUUGUUUAAGUCUGUCGUGAAAUCCCCGGGCUCAACCUGGGAAUGGCGAUGGAUACUGGCGAGCUAGAGUGUGUCAGAGGAUGGUGGAAUUCCGAGUGUAGCGGUGAAAUGCGUAGAGAUCGGGAGGAACAUCAGUGGCGAAGGCGGCCAUCUGGGACAACACUGACGCUGAAGCACGAAAGCGUGGGGAGCAAACAGG
rnacentral:rRNA from 1 species